CUGGGCUGCGCGCUAUAGGCGGUGGAUGUCCACCCAUCGUACACGUUACAAGCGACUGACGGUUCUUGUUCGCAGCAUUAUCACUCAGCGUGGCAGCAUCCCCUUGUCGAGUGCAUAGGCGAUACACACGUACAUGUGUAGCUGGUUUCGAUGCUCAACUCGGCCCUCUACGAGCGCACGCAAAUCCUGAUUGGAGAUGACGGAAUUCGGUCGCUGCAGAACACGAAUAUCUUCCUCGCUGGCACAGGUGGCGUUGGCGGUCACUGCGCCGAGGCUCUUGUGCGGGCCGGCGUUGGCAGCAUCACCAUUGUCGAUUACGAUGUUGUGACUUCGUCAAACAAGAACAGGCAACUGAUCGCCCUUGAUAGCACGAUCGGCAAGAGCAAGGUGGAGGAGCUUGCGCGGCGCCUGCGGGACAUCAACCGGCACUGCAACAUCGUCGUCCUUGACGCCUUCAUCACAGCCGAAGACGUUGAGGAGGUGCUCUCGCGCCAGCGGUACGACUUCGUGGUGGAUUGCAUUGACAGCGUGACUUGCAAGGUGGCUCUUCUCGCUGCCGCAGUGAAGCUGAAAAUACGCGCCUACUCCUCCUGCGGCGCGGGCGGCCGGCUCGAUCCGUCGCUCGUCUCCAUCGGCGACCUGUUCUCGACGGAGAAUGACGGACUCGCGCGCGCGUGUCGCGCAGCAUUGCGCAAGCACGGCGUUGGGCCCGGUGACAUUACCGUCGUGCACAGCUCGGAGAAGGGUAUACCGCCACUGGAGCCACAGCGGCAGGAAGCCGGUGGCCGUGAUCGAUCCAUGAACGGGACGAUUAGCUACAUGCCACCUCUCUUUGGACUCAUGCUAGCGUCGGCGGUACUGCGGUGCGCGGUCGACCCGGCGGCACACGACGCCGAGGUGGAGCGACGACAGAAGCGUGAGCGCAAGGAGCAAAAACGGGCGCUCAAGAAGCGCCGCAAAGAGACGCCACCCACGACGUAGCCGGAAGGGGCGGUGAGUGUGCGGAUGACGGUAUUUCCGCCGCUGUGCCGACAUGGUCGGUGGGUAGGAGGGGCGGGGGCAGGGCAGAUGUCGCCGCUGAUGAGAUUGUCUGUGUUUGGGGAUUUAGUUUUUAUUGCCUUUUUCGGCUCACUUUUGAGCGGGCCUGCACGCGCGGGGCUAAUAAAACAAAGUCGCAUAAGAAUUCGUGCGUGCAUGGCCGAGGCAUGCCUGCGGACACAGACGCGCCCUCCAGUGUCGGAGGCGCAAGAGCAUGGGCUAUGCUGUGCUUGACGUACUGUAACAUAUAGAUGCAUACAGACUUGCGUAUGCAAAC
rnacentral:misc_RNA from 1 species